UUUAAAAUAGCUCAGUAGGUAAAGCAGGAGACUCUUAAUCUCAGGGUCCUGAAUUCAAGCCCCACGUUGGGCAAAA